CAGAAGGUGUGUAAGUUAUUUUGGUGGGUCUGAGUGAGGGAGAGGCUUCUCUGACAUUUGGGAAUUCUACUGAGGUCCCUUUGUUUUUUUUAACUGUUGGGGGUAUACUAUUGGGACAUUUUUUCAAACUGAGGGAACCAUAAAACGCCAAUCUUAUAUUCUUAUUCAUGUGAAACGGCGUCGUCUCUGCCUCUUCUUCGUCAUCCUCCUUCCCCCAUCUUCUUCGCUGCCUACCAAACCCAGCGCCGCCCCGGCCUAGCACCGCCCAUGGCAAAGCAGCAUUUCGGAUGAACUUCCUUGGCAUCCGCGACGCAACAGUCCCUGUUCGACUAAAUCGGUCCUUCAGUGUCUAGAAACGCCGUUGCUCAGUUGACAAAAUCCCGCUGAUUGAUUCUCUCGAUUUUUUCAACAAUCUGACGUUUGCGGAAAGCGAACUACUGAGGUAUAACACGUUUCAUGGAAGCCACGGAACAGAUCCAUGUGAUGGAGAUGCCUCUGAUAGUUUUUAGGGAGACAGGAAGAAAGAGGAAUGAAGGGAUGCUUCAUUAGAAUAUAAAAUAAUAGACCCACUUCCCCCAAUCCAUCACUCUGUUUUGCUCCGAUCCUCUUUUGCGACUUAAAAUCUUUUCCCAGGUCUAUUCGUUUCCGUGGUUUCUGAGUUCAAUUAGUCCGCAGUAGCAGAUUCAAACCCUAGAACUCAACCUCCGAGCAUUCGAUCCACGAGUCUUAGCAGAUUAAUUGUUGUAAAAGGAUGCUAUUUUGCCAUGAGUAACUGGUCCUCGCCUUAGGCCCCGAACCUUUCUUCCCCGUGAAUGCCCUUAGAUACCAAAAUUUUCAGUCAGAUUUUUGCAUUUUACUUAGUGAUCCCGAAGUCAGAGGUUGAGGAAGGCUGGGUAUUUUUUAAAUUUCAGGCGAUUGACGAAAUUCAGGGAAGGUUAGUGUGUUUUGCGCUUCAGUUAUGGUGCAUUAUUUUGUGUUCUGUAAUUUCAGAACUAGGUUUGGGUUUUACUGCUUUUUCUGGGUAUAAUGAUUUAUAGGUAUUGGAUGUAUGCUUUUAUGCCCUGAAUUAGUUUUGUUGCUUUUGCUAUAAGGAUGUGCACUGGUGAGAAAGAAUGAUUGUGGGUUUUUACCUGCUUCUUGGAGCCCUUCGAAAAUUCUUGGUCAGCUUAUGAGGGGCUUGAAUUGAACUAGUUUGAUUGGAGAUUUGGCACUUGUUUAUGAUUUGUUGUGCUGCUUUCUAGGUUGAUUAUUGGUGUUAGAAUUUUUAGAUUUGUAAUUAUCUGUGGAUUGUUUAAUGUGUGAAUCUGUGGUUUUAUCUAUGUCAAAUUGGAUUUUGCAUUAACACACAUUAGGAUUUUGAUGUUUGUGGGAAAUGUAAGGUUGUUCUGCUAAAGCAUGAAUAGAGGCUUUGAUUUAUAGAGUAUUUAUAUGGGUUGCUUUUAUGAUAUCAUUAUUGCUUGUAAUCUAUCUAUAUAUAUGUGUGUGUACAUAUACAUGUGUGGUUAUGCAUGUGUAUGUUCACUGCAUUAGAUAUUGAAUCCUGUCUGUGUUUGUAUAAAACAGAUAUAUUUAUGAUCCUAUACUAUUAAUGGCUAUAUACAUAGUUACCGUACUGCCACAAUGUGUAUGCUUGUUAUCUUAUGAACUGAAUUGUGUCUGCACGACAAGUUCUGUAUGGUCAGCCCCUCCUAAAAGUUUUUUUUAAGAGAAUGAGAAAAAGAAAAGCACUGUCCGUUAAUUGAUGAUAUUCAUUCUAUUAUGGCUCUGGGAGGUGAUUUUGAGUAACUUCAAUUAUGCAUGUAGUCUGUAAGAAAAUGUGUGGGAGGGUAACUUGAUUUUGUUGUGGUUUUGAUGAGAGAGAGAAGAGUGGCUUCAUUAUGCGCCAUGGAGCUAAGUAGGUGUUUAAGCAUGUUGAGGAGCAAUGCAUCAUUGCAUCUUGUGCUUUGAGUUAAUAUUUAUGCAUGAGUUAAGUAUCUUUGUAAGUUUAAGUAGGAGUUCAGCCCUUUUUUGGAAUGUCGUAAGAAAUAAGUACUUUUUCAGAAAAUACUUUUUAUUUGUACGUAUGUCAAUAAGUAGUGUUUGGUUUACACUUAAAUAAGUACUUAUUCCAAAAAGUUACUUUUCGAAACUACUUUUUUUUUAAUAGGAAAAUAAGUAUUUUUUAAAAAAGUAAUUUUUUUUUUUUUUGAAAAAAAGUACUUAGUUGUAAAAGCACUUAUUAUAAGUAAGUACUUUUUCAGAUAAAUGCUUUUUCCAAAAAAAAACUUUUCUGUAAGUGGUUCCAAAUGAUUGGUUAUACAGGAGCAAUAGGUCAUAGUAUCUAGCGAUUCAAGUUAAUAGUUAUGCAUGAGUUAUGUAUCUUUGUGAACAUUUAGCAUCAUUGCCUAUUACGUUUUUUAUUUUUUGUGUGCUGUUUGCUUUUAAAUGUUAAGGCUUUUGGCAUAAUCUGUUUUGAAGGGGUUGAGACUUGAGAGUUUGGAUAUCUUUGUAAACUUGUUCUGAUUGCAUUUUCUUCCCUUGGCUCUUUAGGUUAAUAUAAUAUGAAGUUUGUUUAAAAAUAACUAUUGUGUUUAUCUACUUGUUUUUCUAGAAGGUCAAUGAGUUGAGGAUUUUGUACAUUUUCCUUUAAAUUAAUUUUCCAGUUGAAGUGGCUGUUGCAGCUUGAAAUUUAGCAGUCUCACUCAUCUGUUAAUUCUGCGAAACUAGUUCAAUGAUUGUUGGCUUCUCUCAUCAUUAUGUCUUCAGUGUUUUCAUAUUUAUUUAUAUUACUAAAUGUUUUUAUUAUGCUUUCAUUCCUUCUAGGUUUUACAUAGCUUUUCAGAACUUGACUUGCAGAAGUUGUCAUGCUUAUUAAAGUUUUACAGAUAAUUAAUAGACUUGAGGAUUCUUUGUGACCUGCUUGCACUGUUGGCAUGUCAUAUCCAUUUCCUGCUGAGAGAGAACCACACAGAGAGUCAGGUGUAUUUGUUUGGAUAAAUAGUUUAGUUUGUAUGCAUUUAAUACAAGAUGGGAUCUCGUGGAAGGCAAUUUUUUGAUCUUAAUGAACUUCCUGCUGAGGAGGACGAAGAGGAUGAUAAUUUCCUCCAUUUCCAGCCUCAAAAGGCACUUCCUACUUCAAAUUCCCACCCUUCUGAUAUGUUUGCAACUCAAGUUGAUCCCCAGAUAAUAGUCAACAACAAUGCCUUUUCCCAUGCAUCUUUUGUUUCGGGUUUUCAGCCUUUUUUCAGGCCCAAAUGUACCAAUGGCUUGGAAGAGAGUGUUGAGCAGAAGGGAACAUGGGAUCAAAAUUCCAAGGUUGCCUUGACAACAAGCUCAAGAAAUGCUAAGGAAAUUAAAGUUUCUCAACCACCAGAUUUGGGUUCUGCAAAUGCUCAAGCUGUUGCAAGAGAAGAAGGAGAAUGGUCAGAUGCAAAGGGCUUUGCUCAUGGGUACAAAAGUAGUAAUAUCAAUGAGAAUACAACUUUUGAGUAUGAUAAAGUUAAACAAGAGGGCAUGGUCGAGAUGAUGGAUAAUCGUGCAUUCAGCAUUUCCCCUGGGAAUAUUCCUUGUGAUGUCAAAACUCACAAAACUACAAAAGACAAUAAUAAUAGUUAUAAUUCUUUAGAGUUGGAUCCUGAAGCACAAGAUCAGAAAAUCAAUUGUAACGAGAAUCUGCAAGCCAGUGCUAAAGGUGAUGCAUCUAUCAGUGGUCAGGUAGAACCUGAGUUGGUUCUGAAACUAAGAGAAAAUAAAGGAGUUGAAGCAAGCCAUGCAUUGAAAUGUGCCAAUAAUCCUGGAAAGAGGCAGAAGCUUGAUCAGCAGAAAGAAGCCAUGCUUGGAAAAAAACGUAGCAGACAGACAGUGUUUCUUAACUUGGAAGAUGUUAAGCAAGCUGGUCCCAUUAAAACUUCAGCCCCAAGAAAGCAGAACCUUCCAUUACCUGUUACUACUCGAACUGUGAAAGAAGUCCGUACUGUUCCUGUGCCUGCUGAACGCACUGGAGAAAAGCAGAGUCAGACAAUGACUAAUAAGGAUAAGCAAGUUGAUUUAUCAACGGAUUAUGGAGGCUCACACAUGGAAACUGGUGAAACCAAAGCUGAAUAUAAUGGUGAAAUGAGUUCUGGAGUUCUAGGCAGGCCUAGAAGAAUAAAUAGCACCAGUGAUCUCUCUGCAGGGAUAUACCCACCGCCCAAUCCAAGGCAGGGUUCAUGGAAGCAUCCCUCAGAUUUGAGGCAGCCGAAGAAUUUGCAGGUGUCCUUGAGGAAGCCUGCUCUGGUUGGUCAAAGUUCAAUGGAUCUUAAACUGGGAAACAAGAAACUUCCACCCCCAAAGAAGCAAGUUGGCGUUAAUACCCAGUAUCAAGAUACAUCAGUGGAGCGCCUUCUGCGGGAGGUGACCAAUGAAAAGUUUUGGCACCACCCAGAGGAGACUGAGCUCCAACGUGUUCCUGGUCGGUUUGAAUCUGUGGAAGAGUAUAUCAGAGUUUUUGAACCUUUGCUUUUUGAGGAGUGUCGAGCUCAACUUUACAGUACUUGGGAGGAGUUGACAGAGAUGGUUUCAAGAGAUCUACAUGUAAUGGUUCAUUUAAAAACUGUUGAAAGACGAGAAAGAGGAUGGUAUGAUGUCAUUGUGGCUUCUGCAAAUGAAUGCAAGUGGACAUUUAAGGAGGGUGAUGUCGCAGUUCUCUCAUCCACUAGGCCUGGAUCAGUCAGAACAAGGAGGGCCAACACGAUAUUGGCAGAUGAUAGUGAGGAUCCAGAGAUUAAUGGACGUGUGGCUGGCACUGUAAGGCGACAUAUACCUAUUGAUACUCGUGAGCCUCUAGGGGCUAUUCUUCAUUUUUAUGUUGGGGACUCAUAUGACUUUAACAGCAAGGUAGACAACGAUCAUAUUUUGAAUAAACUUCGUCACAAAGGUGUUUGGUAUCUGACUGUGCUUGGAUCUCUUGCAACCACCCAACGGGAGUAUGUUGCCUUGCAUGCAUUUCGUCGCCUCAGUUUACAGAUGCAAACUGCAAUUCUUAAGCCUAGUCCAGAACAGUUUCCAAAAUAUGAGGAGCAGCAUCCUGCCAUGCCCGAGUGCUUUACUCCAAACUUUGUUGAUUAUUUACAUAAGACUUUCAAUGGACCCCAGCUAGCAGCAAUUCAAUGGGCUGCGAUGCAUACAGCUGCUGGUACAAGUAGUGGGACAACAAAGAGGCAAGAUCCAUGGCCCUUUACUCUAGUUCAAGGGCCUCCAGGAACAGGUAAAACACAUACAGUUUGGGGAAUGCUUAAUGUGAUCCAUCUUGUUCAAUAUCAGCACUAUUACACUGCUCUGCUUAAGAAGUUAGCUCCUGAAAGCUAUAAGCAAGCUAAUGAGAGCAUUUCUGACAAUGCUGCCAUGAGUUCAAUUGAUGAAGUUCUUCAGAACAUGGAUCAGAAUCUCUUUCGCACUCUUCCAAAACUCUGCCCAAAACCUAGAAUGCUUGUUUGUGCUCCUUCUAAUGCUGCAACCGAUGAGCUGCUUGCACGCGUUCUCGAUCGUGGAUUCAUUGACGGUGAGAUGAAAGUGUAUCGGCCUGAUGUUGCCAGAGUUGGGGUUGAUACACAAACACGUGCUGCACAGGCAGUGUCUGUGGAACGAAGAAGUGAACAGCUUCUAAUGAAGAGUCGUGAUGAAAUAUUUGGUUGGAUGCACCAGUUAAGACAUCGUGAAGCUCAAUUGUCUCAGCAGAUAGCUAGUCUUCAAAGAGAUCUCAAUAUGGCAGCUGCUGCAGGUCGUUCCCAAGGAUCUGUUGGUGUUGAUCCUGAUGUGCUUAUGGCUCGGGACCAGAAUCGAGAUGCAUUACUGCAGAACCUUGCAGCAGUGGUUGAGGGCAGGGAUAAAAUUCUGGUUGAAAUGUCCCGCCUUAUUAUUUUGGAAGGCAGAUUCCGCGCUAGUAGUGGCUUUAAUUUGGAAGAAGCCCGUGCUAAUCUUGAGGCAAGUUUUGCCAAUGAGGCUGAAAUUGUUUUCACUACUGUGUCAAGCAGUGGUCGCAAGUUGUUCUCUCGUCUCACCCAUGGCUUUGAUAUGGUUGUUAUUGAUGAGGCAGCACAAGCCAGUGAAGUAGCAGUUCUUCCUCCCCUUGCUCUUGGUGCAGCACGGUGUGUUCUUGUUGGGGAUCCCCAACAGCUGCCUGCUACAGUUAUCAGCAAGGCGGCUGGAACUUUGUUAUACAGCAGAAGUCUCUUUGAAAGGUUUCAACAGGCAGGCUGCCCAACAAUGUUAUUGUCUGUGCAGUAUAGGAUGCAUCCUCAAAUCCGCGAUUUCCCUUCCAGAUACUUCUAUCAAGGACGCCUUACAGACAGUGAAAGCAUUGCUAGUUUGCCUGAUGAGAUAUACUACAAGGAUCCAUUACUGAGUCCUUACUUGUUCUACGAUAUUACACAUGGUCGGGAGUCCCACAGAGGUGUAUCUGUCUCUUACCAGAACAUACAUGAAGCACAAUUUUGUCUUCGUUUGUAUGAGCAUCUCCAGAAAACUCUGAAAUCGUUGGGUGCGGGGAAAAUCUCUGUUGGCAUAAUUACACCUUACAAGUUGCAACUGAAAUGCCUUCAGCGUGAGUUUGAGGAUAUUUUAAAGUCAGAAGAAGGGAAAGAUUUGUAUAUUAAUACUGUAGAUGCUUUCCAAGGUCAGGAACGCGAUGUCAUUAUUAUGUCUUGUGUCCGUGCCUCAGGUCAUGGGGUGGGCUUUGUGGCUGAUAUCCGCAGAAUGAAUGUUGCGCUUACUCGUGCAAGAAGAGCUCUUUGGGUUAUGGGAAAUGCUAAUGCUCUAAUGCAUUCUGAGGAUUGGGCUGCGUUGAUUACUGAUGCUAAAGCUAGGAAUUGUUAUAUGGGCAUGGAUUCUCUUCCCAAGGAUUUUUUGGCAACAAAGGGACCAACCUACCCUCACGUGCCAAGUAAAAUCUCCAACAUGAGGGUUCUGAGAUCAGCCGGACCAAGACUUAGAUCAUUGGAUAUGCAGCAACAGGUGGAAUCCAGGUCAGGAACCCCAUCAGAAGAUGAUGAGAGGUCAAGUGCACUAUUAGUUUCUAAGAAUGGGAAUUAUUGAUCCUCAAAAGUAACCAAUGGAGAAUUCUUUGCAUGAUUCAGAUCAAUCUUCUGAAAAAUGCUGAGAUGACUGGCAAUUUGACCUUCAGAAGGAUACAUAUGCUGCUGAGGGUUGUGAGGAAGAGAUAUUCCUAGCUGAUGGUUCUCACUUUUGACUGACUGCAAAUUCUCUGUAACCAAAAGACAAGGGGAAAGGGAGUUGGAAGAGGAUGUUGAGCUUAUGCAAGUGGCUUGUUGCUCUUGUUGAACCGAUUCCUGUGAUUUUCCUGAAGGAGCUGCAUUGGGUUGGUUGCUGGAUAUUUACUGUUGAUUCCACCAUUUUACUGGGCCCUAUGCAUGGCAUUGACUAUCUCUCUUCUGUGCAAUAGAACAUGCAAGUUGCUACUUCUCACCUGAUGAGAACUUCGCCAGGGCUUCCAUCUCUUCCUCUCUCUAGUGAAGCUUCUGAGUCGAGCUCCCGAUUUUGUAGUUCUGUUCUCACAAUGUACAGCUGCUGACUAAUUUGAUAUUCAGAACUUUGAUGAAUCGGCUAAUCUCCAACACGGUUCACUAUUGAAAGUUGCUGAAAUAUAUUCUUGGGAUGGGCAAAUGUAUUCUUGGUACAGGGAGACACUUCCGGAUAAUGUCUCAAAAGUAUAUCUAAAAUCUUGGGGGCUAAUUGAAUCUUCCUCUUAUUUUGAUUGUUUAAUGAGCCAUGAAGUGUGAAAUUUGUUUCAACUGAAAAAAAAAAAAGGUAUACCAAAAUUUCUGUAUAGAAAGGUCUUGUUCAAAUAUUGUAUUAGAUCCUUUAGAGGCAUUUGGAACGUCGGCAGAUUUGUACAUACAUCUUCACCUGCGGAAUAGAAGAAUUCUUUUGAUGUUUUGUUUAAAA